CUUUCUCUCUCAAGGCGUUCUUGUUGUUUUUUCUAGUGAAAGAAAUUGCCGAAAACCGAUAAAAAUUUCUAAGUGUGUGAGGAGAGUGUUAGGAGGCUGUGUAAUGGCUUAUACUUAGACUAGGAUCCAUGAUAUUGGGCUAGAAAGGGUGGUAAGGUUUUUAUUUGGAGUUCAAAACGUUUUGAAACCUUUGAGCCUGUAGCCUUCCUAAACCAGGUUUUUGGUAAAAACUAGGUUAUAGCGAGUAGGGGAGUGUUCUGGCUGUGAGCGUGGCCUAUCUCCUAUGUAUGAAGACAUAGGUAACCAUAGAGGGUUGGGCGUUAAGCAGGGUUGUGUUGAAGUGAUCAAAAGACCGGUGUUUUCUGUUUUUUUCCGUUGAAGUUUUAUGGAUACCCUUUUGACUUACUUUCCUUUGUGUGGUUUGCAGACAUCGUCGAAUUCCCGAAAUUUGUGAAAUAAAUAAUGUAUGUUUAUUUAUAACAUCCUCGUUUAGCGUUAAUAAUUUAAGUCUUGUCCGGACUUAACACAACUUUCGACCGUGGAACGGUUUGGCAAACCUUAGGCUGUCUUCGAGAGGGACGGUAUCGCGGACGAACCAGCCGAAGCCUUGGUUUGGUGCCUCGGGUUUGGUUGGAUCGGCUGCGGUGCUCGUCAAAUUGUGACCCAAUUUUGGUCAAUGCAUUAAUGGGCCACGAUCAAGUAAAUGGGCCACGAAGAGUUAAAGCCCAUAGCGAACACUCGAACUCGAGACGGAGAUUUCGAAGAACCAGAGAUCGCGGAACGAUUGCGGAGAUCGCGGAACGGUUGCGAACAUCACGAGAGCAGCAUGCUAUAAGAAGAGGUCGACACAUUGAAAACCCUAGAGAGAGCUACACCCAUACUUCGACCUUUUUUUCAUCCAUCUUUAGAUUUUUUCUCUUAACGAUCUCGUUGUAACGUUCGAUCUUGUUUAACUCAUUUUAUUCGAUCUUAUUCAUCAAUAAAAGUCCAUUUUUGCCUACCGAAAA